rnacentral:guide_RNA from 1 species
AACAACAUAAAUCAUAAUAAUAAAAU